CGGGGUAUAGCGCAGAUGGUAGCGCGCUGCGUUCGGGACGCAGAGGCCUUGAGUUCAAAUCUCAAUACUCCGACCA
rnacentral:tRNA from 3 species